rnacentral:tRNA from 1 species
GCGAGAGUGGUGAAAUUGGUAGACACGCCAGCCUUAGGAGCUGGUGCCUUUGGUUUACGGGUUCGAGUCCCGUCUCUCGCA